AGAACGAACGCUGGCGGCAUGGCUAAGACAUGCAAGUCGAACGGACUAUAUUGAAGAGUAAUCGGAUUUAUAGUUAGUGGCGAAAGGGUGCGGAAUGAAUAGGUAACGUGCCUCAAACAUCAGAAUAGCGUCUGGAUGCUUGCAUCCUUCCGAAAGGGGCGGUAAUACUGGAUAAUAUCAUACUUCAUAAGUUGUAUGAUCAAAGAUUUAUCGGUUUGAGAGCGGCCUAUUUCCUAUCAGCUAGUUGGUGAGGUAAUGGCUCACCAAGGCGUCGACGGGUAGCGGGACUGAGAGGUUGACCCGCCACAUCGGGACUGAGACACUGCCCGGACCUCCACGGAGGGCUGCAGUAACGAAUAUUGCACAAUGAGCGAAAGCUUGAUGCAGCAAUGCCGCGUGUAGGAUGAAGCCUUUCGGGGUGUAAACUAUUGUCAGGGACUAGAAAGUAUACUUCGGUAUAUUGAUCAAUCCCAGAGGAAGUCACGGCUAACUUCGUGCCAGCAGCCGCGGUAAUACGAAGGUGGCAAGCGUUGUUCGGAAUCAUUGGGCUUAAAGCGCGCGUAGGCGGACUAGAAAGUGUCUUGUGAAAACCCUCGGCUUAACCGAGGAAUUGCUUGGCAAACUUCUAGUCUUGAGGCAAGUAGGGGUACAUGGAACUCUUGGUGGAGCGGUGGAAUGCGUAGAUAUCAAGAGGAACGCCAAUGGUGAAGACAGUGUACUGGGCUUGUACUGACGCUGAGGUGCGAAAGCGUGGGGAGCGAACGGGAUUAGAUACCCCGGUAGUCCACGCCGUAAACGAUGUCUACUAGAUCGUGGGAGUUCUGACACUUUCACGGUCGAAGCAAAAGUGAUAAGUAGACCGCCUGGGGAGUACGGUCGCAAGGCUA
rnacentral:rRNA from 1 species